UCUUCCAUAGGUAAACCAUGAAA
rnacentral:snRNA from 1 species